GUUAAGCGACUAAGCGUACACGGUGGAUGCCCUGGCAGUCAGAGGCGAUGAAGGACGUGCUAAUCUGCGAUAAGCGUCGGUAAGGUGAUAUGAACCGUUAUAACCGGCGAUUUCCGAAUGGGGAAACCCAGUGUGUUUCGACACACUAUCAUUAACUGAAUCCAUAGGUUAAUGAGGCGAACCGGGGGAACUGAAACAUCUAAGUACCCCGAGGAAAAGAAAUCAACCGAGAUUCCCCCAGUAGCGGCGAGCGAACGGGGAGCAGCCCAGAGCCUGAAUCAGUGUGUGUGUUAGUGGAAGCGUCUGGAAAGGCGCGCGAUACAGGGUGACAGCCCCGUACACAAAAAUGCACAUGCUGUGAGCUCGAUGAGUAGGGCGGGACACGUGGUAUCCUGUCUGAAUAUGGGGGGACCAUCCUCCAAGGCUAAAUACUCCUGACUGACCGAUAGUGAACCAGUACCGUGAGGGAAAGGCGAAAAGAACCCCGGCGAGGGGAGUGAAAAAGAACCUGAAACCGUGUACGUACAAGCAGUGGGAGCACGCUUAGGCGUGUGACUGCGUACCUUUUGUAUAAUGGGUCAGCGACUUAUAUUCUGUAGCAAGGUUAACCGAAUAGGGGAGCCGAAGGGAAACCGAGUCUUAACUGGGCGUUAAGUUGCAGGGUAUAGACCCGAAACCCGGUGAUCUAGCCAUGGGCAGGUUGAAGGUUGGGUAACACUAACUGGAGGACCGAACCGACUAAUGUUGAAAAAUUAGCGGAUGACUUGUGGCUGGGGGUGAAAGGCCAAUCAAACCGGGAGAUAGCUGGUUCUCCCCGAAAGCUAUUUAGGUAGCGCCUCGUGAAUUCAUCUCCGGGGGUAGAGCACUGUUUCGGCAAGGGGGUCAUCCCGACUUACCAACCCGAUGCAAACUGCGAAUACCGGAGAAUGUUAUCACGGGAGACACACGGCGGGUGCUAACGUCCGUCGUGAAGAGGGAAACAACCCAGACCGCCAGCUAAGGUCCCAAAGUCAUGGUUAAGUGGGAAACGAUGUGGGAAGGCCCAGACAGCCAGGAUGUUGGCUUAGAAGCAGCCAUCAUUUAAAGAAAGCGUAAUAGCUCACUGGUCGAGUCGGCCUGCGCGGAAGAUGUAACGGGGCUAAACCAUGCACCGAAGCUGCGGCAGCGACGCUGAUGCGUUGUUGGGUAGGGGAGCGUUCUGUAAGCCUGCGAAGGUGUGCUGUGAGG
rnacentral:rRNA from 1 species